rnacentral:tRNA from 1 species
GCCAGCAUGGCUCAGUGGUUGAGCAUCAGGCUAUGAACCAGGAGGUCAUGGUUUGAUUCCUAGUCAGGGCA